CGGAGAGUUUGAUCCUGGCUCAGGACGAACGCUGGCGGCGUGCCUAAUACAUGCAAGUCGAACGAACUCUGGUAUUGAUUGGUGCUUGCAUCAUGAUUUACAUUUGAGUGAGUGGCGAACUGGUGAGUAACACGUGGGAAACCUGCCCAGAAGCGGGGGAUAACACCUGGAAACAGAUGCUAAUACCGCAUAACAACUUGGACCGCAUGGUCCGAGCUUGAAAGAUGGCUUCGGCUAUCACUUUUGGAUGGUCCCGCGGCGUAUUAGCUAGAUGGUGGGGUAACGGCUCACCAUGGCAAUGAUACGUAGCCGACCUGAGAGGGUAAUCGGCCACAUUGGGACUGAGACACGGCCCAAACUCCUACGGGAGGCAGCAGUAGGGAAUCUUCCACAAUGGACGAAAGUCUGAUGGAGCAACGCCGCGUGAGUGAAGAAGGGUUUCGGCUCGUAAAACUCUGUUGUUAAAGAAGAAUAUAUCUGAGAGUAACUGUUCAGGUAUUGACGGUAUUUAACCAGAAAGCCACGGCUAACUACGUGCCAGCAGCCGCGGUAAUACGUAGGUGGCAAGCGUUGUCCGGAUUUAUUGGGCGUAAAGCGAGCGCAGGCGGUUUUUUAAGUCUGAUGUGAAAGCCUUCGGCUCAACCGAAGAAGUGCAUCGGAAACUGGGAAACUUGAGCGCAGAAGAGGACAGUGGAACUCCAUGUGUAGCGGUGAAAUGCGUAGAUAUAUGGAAGAACACCAGUGGCGAAGGCGGCUGUCUGGUCUGUAACUGACGCUGAGGCUCGAAAGUAUGGGUAGCAAACAGGAUUAGAUGCCCUGGUAGUCCAUACCGUAAACGAUGAAUGCUAAGUGUUGGAG
rnacentral:rRNA from 1 species